ACGGCUCAGUAACACGUGGAUAACCUGCCCUAUGCUCUGGGAUAACCUCGGGAAACUGAGAAUAAUACCGGAUAGAUCACAACGCCUGGAACGGUGUGUGGUUGAAAGGUUACGGCAUAGGAUGGGUCUGCGGCGUAUCAGGUUGUAGGGGGUGUAAUGGACCCCCUAGCCAUCGACGCGUACGGGUGUUGGGAGACAUAGCCCGGAGACGGAUUCUGAGACACGAAUCCGGACCCUACGGGGUGCAGCAGGCGCGAAAACUUCACACUGCAGGAAACUGUGAUGAGGGAACUCCAAGUGGAUGCACAUAGUGUAUCUCUUUUCUUUACUAUUAAUCGGUAUUGGAAUAAGGGCUGGGAAAGACCGGUGCCAGCCGCCGCGGUAAUACCGGCAGCUCGAGUGGUCGUCGCUUUUAUUGGCCUAAAACGUCCGUAGCCGGUUUGGUAAAUCUGUGGGUAAAUCAACUAGCUUAACUAGUUGAAUUCUGCAGAGACUGCCAGACUAGGAACCGGGAGAGGUGUGGGGUACUCAAGGGGUAGGGGUAAAAUCCUGUCAUCCUUUGAGGACCACCAGUUGCGAAGGCGCCACACUAGAACGGAUUCGACGGUCAGGAACGAAGCCUAGGGGCACGAACCGGAUUAGAUACCCGGGUAGUCCUAGGUGUAAACGCUGUGAACUUGGUGUCGGGAGUCCGCAAUGGGCCCCCGGUGCCGGAGUGAAGAUGUUAAGUUCACUGCCUGGGGAGUACGGUCGCAAGGCUGAAACUUAAAGGAAUUGGCGGGGGAGCAC
rnacentral:rRNA from 1 species